rnacentral:rRNA from 1 species
UACGAAGGGGGCUAGCGUUGCUCGGAAUCACUGGGCGUAAAGGGUGCGUAGGCGGGUCUUUAAGUCAGGGGUGAAAUCCUGGAGCUCAACUCCAGAACUGCCUUCGAUACUGAGAGUCUUGAGUCCGGGAGAGGUGAGUGGAGCUGCGAGUGUAGAGGUGAAAUUCGUAGAUAUUCGCAAGAACACCAGUGGCGAAGGCGGCUCACUGGCCCGGUACUGACGCUGAGACGCGAAAGCGUGGGGAGCGAACAGG